UACGUAGGGGGCGAGCGUUGUCCGGAAUCAUUGGGCGUAAAGAGCGUGUAGGCGGCUUGGUAGGUCCGCUGUGAAAACUCGAGGCUCAACCUCGAGACGCCGGUGGAAACUGCAAAGCUAGAGUCCGGAAGAGGAGAGUGGAAUUCCUGGUGUAGCGGUGAAAUGCGCAGAUAUCAGGAAGAACACCCGUGGCGAAGGCGGCUCUCUGGGACGGUACUGACGCUGAGACGCGAAAGCGUGGGGAGCGAACAGG
rnacentral:rRNA from 1 species